rnacentral:rRNA from 1 species
GAUGAACGCUGGCGGCGUGCCUAAUACAUGCAAGUCGAGCGAACAGACGAUGAGCUUGCUCCUCUGACGUUAGCGGCGGACGGGUGAGUAACACGUGGAUAACCUACCUAUAAGACUGGGAUAACUUCGGGAAACCGGAGCUAAUACCGGAUAAUAUAUUGAACCGCAUGGUUCAAUAGUGAAAGACGGUUUUGCUGUCACUUAUAGAUGGAUCCGCGCCGCAUUAGCUAGUUGGUAAGGUAACGGCUUACCAAGGCAACGAUGCGUAGCCGACCUGAGAGGGUGAUCGGCCACACUGGAACUGAGACACGGUCCAGACUCCUACGGGAGGCAGCAGUAGGGAAUAUUCCGCAAUGGGCGCAAGCUUGACGGAGCAACGCCGCGUGAGUGAUGAAGGUCUUCGGAUCGUAAAACUCUGUUAUUAGGGAAGAACAAAUGUGUAAGUAACUAUGCACGUCUUGACGGUACCUAAACAGAAAGCCACGGCUAACUACGUG